AUACGGAGGGUGCAAGCGUUAAUCGGAAUUACUGGGCGUAAAGAGCACGUAGGCGGCUUGGUCAGUCGGAUGUGAAAGCCCCGGGCUUAACCUGGGAAUUGCACUCGAUACUGCCAAGCUAGAGUUUAAUAGAUGAAUGCGGAAUUCCGGGUGUAGCGGUGAAAUGCGUAGAUAUCCGGAGGAACAUCAGUGGCGAAGGCGGCAUUCUGGGUUAAAUCUGACGCUGAGGCGCGAAAGCGUGGGGAGCAAACAGGAUUAGAAACCCCUGUAGUCC
rnacentral:rRNA from 1 species